rnacentral:rRNA from 1 species
UUCCGGUUGAUCCCGCCGGACCUGACUGCUAUCGGAUUGAUACUAAGCCAUGCGAGUCAUUGUAGUAAUACAAGGCAGACGGCUCAGUAACGCGUAGUCAACCUACCCUAUGGACGGGAAUAACCUCGGGAAACUGAGUAUAAUGCCCGAUAGAACACUAUACCUGGAAUGGUUUGUGUUUCAAAUGAUUUAUUGCCGUAGGAUGGGACUGCGGCCUAUCAGUUUGUUGGUGAGGUAAUGGCCCACCAAGACUAUUACAGGUACGGGCUCUGAGAGGAGUGGCCCGGAGAUGGGUACUGAGACACGGACCCAGGCCCUAUGGGGCGCAGCAGGCGAGAAAACUUUGCAAUGUGCGAAAGCACGACAAGGUUAAUCCGAGUGGUUUCUGCUAAAGGAACCUUUUGACAGUCCUAGAAACACUGUUGAAUAAGGGGUGGGCAAGUUCUGGUGUCAGCCGCCGCGGUAAAACCAGCACCUCAAGUGGUCAGGAUGAUUAUUGGGCCUAAAGCAUCCGUAGCCGGCUCAGUAAGUUUUCGGUUAAAUCUGUACGCUCAACGUACAGGCUGCCGGGAAUACUGCAGAGCUAGGGAGUGGGAGAGGUAGACGGUACUCGGGAGGAAGUGGUAAAAUGCUUUGAUCUUUCGAUGACCACCUGUGGCGAAGGCGGUCUACCAGAACACGUCCGACGGUGAGGGAUGAAAGCUGGGGGAGCAAACCGGAUUAGAUACCCGGGUAGUCCCAGCUGUAAACUAUGCAAACUCAGUGAUGCAUUGGCUUGUGGCCAAUGCAGUGUUGCAGGGAAGCCGUUAAGUUUGCCGCCUGGGAAGUACGUACGCAAGUAUGAAACUUAAAGGAAUUGGCGGGGGAGCACCACAAGGGGUGAAGCCUGCGGUUCAAUUGGAUUCAACGCCGGG